rnacentral:ncRNA from 2 species
UGUGAUAGUUCUAGUAAAGGUACUACUUUAUGUAGUUUAAAAGGGAAGUACGGUGAAAAUCCGACGCUGUCCCCGCAACUGUAAAUGCUGACGAUGACGAAAAAUAACCCACUGUACGGUUUGUAUGGGAAGGGAUGUCAAAGGAUGAAGCAAAGCCAGGAGACCUGCCUUGCUGGACGACUGUAC